rnacentral:rRNA from 1 species
GACGAACGCUGGCGGCGUGCUUAACACAUGCAAGUCGAACGGAAAGGCCCUGCUUUUGUGGGGUGCUCGAGUGGCGAACGGGUGAGUAACACGUGAGUAACCUGCCCUUGACUUUGGGAUAACUUCAGGAAACUGGGGCUAAUACCGGAUAGGAGCUCCUGCUGCAUGGUGGGGGUUGGAAAGUUUCGGCGGUUGGGGAUGGACUCGCGGCUUAUCAGCUUGUUGGUGGGGUAGUGGCUUACCAAGGCUUUGACGGGUAGCCGGCCUGGGAGGGUGACCGGCCACAUUGGGACUGAGAUACGGCCCAGACUCCUACGGGAGGCAGCAGUGGGGAAUAUUGCACAAUGGGCGGAAGCCUGAUGCAGCAACGCCGCGUGCGGGAUGACGGCCUUCGGGUUGUAAACCGCUUUCGCCUGUGACGAAGCGUGAGUGACGGUAAUGGGUAAAGAAGCACCGGCUAACUGCGUG